rnacentral:rRNA from 1 species
GACGAACGCUGGCGGCGUGCUUAACACAUGCAAGUCGAACGAUGAACCCGGAGCUUGCUCCGGUGGAUUAGUGGCGAACGGGUGAGUAACACGUGAGUAACCUGCCCUUGACUCUGGGAUAACUGCGGGAAACUGUAGCUAAUACCGGAUACGACCCUCGGCGGCAUCGCCAGGGGGUGGAAAGAACUUCGGUCAAGGAUGAGCUCGCGGCCUAUCAGCUAGUUGGUGAGGUAAUGGCUCACCAAGGCGACGACGGGUAGCCGGCCUGAGAGGGUGACCGGCCACACUGGAACUGAGACACGGUCCAGACUCCUACGGGAGGCAGCAGUGGGGAAUAUUGCACAAUGGGCGAAAGCCUGAUGCAGCAACGCCGCGUGAGGGAUGAAGGCCUUCGGGUUGUAAACCUCUUUUAGCAGGGAAGAAGCGAAAGUGACGGUACCUGCAGAAAAAGCACCGGCUAACUACGUGCCAGCAGCCGCGGUAA